CAGUUUUGGUUACUGCGCUCCGUUAAAGCCAGUUACCACGGUUCAAAAAGUUGGUAGCUCUAAGAACCUUGAAAAAACACCAUUGGUAGCGGUGUUUUUUCU
rnacentral:antisense_RNA from 1 species